rnacentral:rRNA from 1 species
GACAGGGGUCUCGAGCGUUAAUCGGAAUUACUGGGCUUAAAGGGUGCGUAGGUGGAUCCGCAAGUGCUCCGUGAAAUCCCCCGGCUCAACCGGGGAACUGCGGGGCAUACUGCGGGUCUUGAGGAAGGUAGGCGCCGAGGGAACAGUAGGUGGAGCGGUGAAAUGCGUAGAUAUCUACUGGAACGCCGAUGGUGAAGACGCUCGGCUGGGCCUUUCCUGACACUGAGGCACGAAAGCGUGGGGAGCAAACAGG